rnacentral:tRNA from 1 species
GCAUCCUUAGCUCAGUUGGAAGAGUACCAGGCUUCGAACCUGGGGGUCGUAGGUUCGAGCCCUGCAGGAUGCACCA